rnacentral:rRNA from 1 species
CUACGGGUGGCAGCAGUGGGGAAUAUUGCACAAUGGGCGAAAGCCUGAUGCAGCAACGCCGCGUGAGCGAUGAAGGCCUUCGGGUCGUAAAGCUCUGUCCUCAAGGAAGAUAAUGACGGUACUUGAGGAGGAAGCCCCGGCUAACUACGUGCCAGCAGCCGCGGUAAUACGUAGGGGGCUAGCGUUAUCCGGAAUUACUGGGCGUAAAGGGUGCGUAGGCGGUCUUUCAAGCCAGAAGUGAAAGGCUACGGCUCAACCGUAGUAAGCUUUUGGAACUGUAGGACUUGAGUGCAGGAGAGGAGAGUAGAAUUCCUAGUGUAGCGGUGAAAUGCGUAGAUAUUAGGAGGAAUACCAGUAGCGAAGGCGGCUCUCUGGACUGUAACUGACGCUGAGGCACGAAAGCGUGGGGAGCAAACAGGAUUAGAUACCCUUGUAGUC